rnacentral:rRNA from 1 species
GACGAACGCUGGCGGCAGGCCUAACACAUGCAAGUCGAGCGGAUGAGUGGAGCUUGCUCCAUGAUUCAGCGGCGGACGGGUGAGUAAUGCCUAGGAAUCUGCCUGGUAGUGGGGGACAACGUUUCGAAAGGAACGCUAAUACCGCAUACGUCCUACGGGAGAAAGUGGGGGAUCUUCGGACCACACGCUAUCAGAUGAGCCUAGGUCGGAUUAGCUAGUUGGUGAGGUAAAGGCUCACCAAGGCGACGAUCCGUAACUGGUCUGAGAGGAUGAUCAGUCACACUGGAACUGAGACACGGGCCAGACUCCGACGGGAGGCAGCAGUGGGGAAUAUUGGACAAUGGGCGAAAGCCUGAUCCAGCCAUGCCGCGUGUGUGAAGAAGGUCUUCGGAUUGUAAAGCACUUUAAGUUGGGAGGAAGGGCAGUAAGUUAAUACCUUGCUGUUUUGACGUUACCAACAGAAUAAGCACCGGCUAACUUCGUGCCAGCAGCCGCGGUAAUAC